AACGUAGGGUGCGAGCGUUGUCCGGAAUUAUUGGGCGUAAAGAGCUCGUAGGCGGUGUGUCGCGUCGGCCGUGAAAACCUGCAGCUUAACUGUGGGCGUGCGGUCGAUACGGGCAUCACUGGAGUUCGGCAGGGGAGACUGGAAUUCCUGGUGUAGCGGUGAAAUGCGCAGAUAUCAGGAAGAACACCCGUGGCGAAGGCGGCUCUCUGGGACGGUACUGACGCUGAGACGCGAAAGCGUGGGGAGCGAACAGG
rnacentral:rRNA from 1 species